AGGGCCCAACGGGUGGCUUGGGAGUAUUUCUGUCUCGGAAAAGCAAAUCUACUGGGUAAACCUCGAGAAGAAGUCCUCUCUGGAAUGAAGCUGUGCCUCUGGGUGAGACGGACCUAAAUUGAGCAAUGUGUGAGACCUGGUGGAGCCACAAGAUGGAAGGAAAUGGGUCCCUGAAUGACUGCAUGGAAGCCAUCUACCAAGUAGGAACAUGGACAAUGAACUUUGCAGGAGUGUGAGGCCCUGGGAGGAUCCUUUCCUGCCAGUUGACCUCCGUCAAGUCCACCUCCACCCAGCAGAGAGGUUCUAGCAGUGGAACCUACAAAGAGAAGGGUUCAGCCCCUCCAAUUCCCCCUUCCAGUGGUCUCCUCUGCUUUUAAGCAAAAUUGAAAGGGGCUGAAGAGGAGUGGUCUUUCCUAAGCCAAGAAACUGUCCUACUGAGCCUUUCCUCCUGAGCAGUGGGGCUCUUCUCAUCCUGCAUCCACAACCAAAAGGGGCCUUUGAAGAAUUCUUCCAAGAACAAAACGAUUUCCUGGAAAACGACUUGCUCUCUUCCCCAUUAGAGAUAUAGUUGGCAACUCCAUAGCAGCCUCCCUUGCAAAAUGAAAAUCAUUAAGUUCUGCGCUCUGAGAUGCGUGCAAAGCGCCAGGCACUGUUAUCCGUGAUAGUAAGGUGAAGACUUUUAGGCCCAGAGCAGUUGAGUAACUUGUCCAAGGUCACACAGCUGAUACAAGGCAGAACUAGGGUUAGCUCCCGGGCUUUU